ACAUACUUCUUUAUAUGCCCAU
rnacentral:miRNA from 4 species